UCAGUGAGUUUAUCUUGUGUUUAUUGCUGCUCAUACAAGCACCGAAAGGCCUUCUACAGCUGCUGUGGGGCGGUGGAUGUCUGCUAUGGCCGAUGAUACCUCAUUUCAGAUGCCCAGCAGGUGUCGUGUGCUGUUGUGAGUGUGAGUUUCACAAAUUUGGCCUAGCGGAGCAUCACUGCAUGCAAGCACAUGACAGCGCCCAGCUGCAGGGGAGACCCAAAGGACAACAGUAUAAAGUGGUGCAUUUGAAAGCAGAGCUCUUUUCACUGCAGCGUCUCGCUUUGCAAACAUGACACCAGAGGCUCGGGACAGAUGCUGCUCCCUCCAGAACUCCGCGCUCAUCAUUUUAGCCAAGUAGCUGUGACCUGGCGCCGACGCCACAAAACAGGACAAGUAAUUUAAUUUGCCACUGCUGCUGACCUUGAAGCAUUGAAUGUAGGCCGACAGAAUCCCAAUAGGAAAUCUGGAAGAAAAACAUCCUGGGAGCUGAAAUAGCGAUCAGGCUGUUCCGCCUGCAGCAUCACACACAGUCUCGUCACCUCUACAGGGAAACUUUUGUCCUUCAGCUUUGCAUGAAGAAUGUUAAUUUACAGGCCUCCGUCUCUCUCGCCUCCAGUCACGGCCAAUCCAGUAGUGAGCAAGAGCCGGCCUCUGGAGAAAGGGUGAUGAUCCCGACUGAGCUUUUCAUUUAACAAGGAGCUGCAAGGAUUUCCAGAGAACUGCACUGUGGAGAUCAGGAUAAGAGAAAAUAGCGUUCCUAGCUGGCAGCAUCGAGUUUCAGUGGAGCCCCAGGUCAUUAAAGAUAACUUGGCACCAUGUCAGGGCCUGGCUGAGUGGAUUGUGUAAACCAGUCACCCACCAAGGUCCUUAGUGUAGUCAGGAAUGCUGCAAUGCCACUUGCAGACUGCAGAGUCCAGGGAGCCCUAAAAAGGAAGGAGUCUCUCUCUGAUUCCCGGCAGCUUGGCGAGCAGCGGAGGCUAAAUUAGGCCUGGUUUCAUUGACUUUCAAUCCCCAGGGUGGCUGCCGCCCUGCAGCCCAGAGGAUGAGAGAUGGGGGGCCUCGGAUGCUUCGUCGGAGCUUCUCCAGACACUGACUGGGAAGGUUGGAGUGUCAGAUGGAGGGACGAUACGGCUCGGAUUGAGAUCGGUUGCAUCUUCUGUUAACAUUCUAAGUUAACGGAAAAGAAACACGGAUAACAUGGAAGGUUCUGUGAUGUUUUUCAUUUUGAAACCAAAAAUCAUAAACUUGAGUUAUAACAUAUUGUGUUGCUUGUGUACAAUAAGUACAAUAAGUAUAUGUGUUUUGGGAUAAAAUCUGCUAUGUUACUGCUCCUCCGUGCACAUCCACAGAGACAGGUGAAGAAAACAGUCAGCUUUGAGGAGCUCGAAAAGGUUAGUUGUCCUCGAGUAGAAGCCUGUAUUUGAGUGUGUAUUUUAUUUUAUUCCUCGUACACUGUUGUCUUGUCGUCCAUUGUCGUACUGUCUGCUGUUAUGCACCAACCGCCAAGUCAAAUUCCUUGUAUGUCUGACAUAUUAUGGCAAUAAAUGUUUCCUGAUUCCUGAAAGACACCACACGUGUCCAUGUCAGCUUGUGUCUG